rnacentral:misc_RNA from 1 species
GAUGAAGAACGUAGCGAAAUGCGAUACUUGGUGUGAAUUGCAGAAUCCCGUGAACCAUCGAGUCUUUGAACGCAAGUUGCGCCCGAAGCCAUUAGGCCGAGGGCACGCCUGCCUGGGCGUCACACGUCGUUGCCCCCCCAUCUACUCCUUCGGGAUUGCGGGGGGCGGAUGAUGGCCUCUCGUGCGCCUCGUCGCGCGGUUGGCCUAAAUGCCAAGUCCUCGGCGACGCACGCCACGACAAUCGGUGGUUGCGAAACCUCGGUUGCCUGUCGUGUGCGGUCGUCGCGCAUCGAGGGCUCGAAAAAAUUGCCGGGCUUCGGCUCGACUUUCAACGCGACCCCAGGUCAGGCGGGGUUACCCGCUGAAUUUAAGCAUAUAAAUAAGCGGAGGA